CAAUCUCAAUCCUCAGAUGAGCCUGACUCUCCUAGAAAUAUUUCUACGGUGCUAUUCUUUGAUUCAGAUAUGGAAGGCGAGCCCAUGAACUUCCGUGAUGUUUUUCUUUAUAGUCAAGCUCUUGAAGGAAUAACAAUAUCCAUGAUUCUGGAGGCACCAAAUGAGGAAGAGGUUUCUUUGCUUUUGGAGAUAUUUGGACUUUGUAUUACAGGGGGAAG